CGAAUACUCCCUCCGUUCCGAAUUACUUGUCUUGGAUUUGUCUAGAUACGGAUGUAUCUAGACUCAUUUUAGUGCUAGAUACCUCCGUAUCUAGACAAAUCCAAGACAAGUAAUUCGGAACGGAGGGAGUACAUG
rnacentral:pre_miRNA from 1 species